GCUAUGUGGUCUCAGCUCACGAUCACAGUAGGGUUCCCAACAGUCCCUUAUUACAACGGAUGUCCUUUAUUUUUCAUCUCUGUGCAGCAAGAUUGGGAGUUUUUGAGUGCUGCAAAAAGCAACAAGAAAUACCCUUGGUGAAUGUAGUAAGAAAUCACAAUGCACAGAACCAAACAAAAGAUAAAUGCAGGGGCCGAAAAUGAAAGGCAGACAAAGGACAGAGAGGAAUUAGCUGCUGGGAGGAAAGGAACUGAAAGAAAGACAGACGGGGAGGAAAAAAACUGGAACCACAAAGAAAAAUAAAGAGCCCUCCUGGUAUGAAUCAACUGGCACCUAAGUAUUCCCUUCACCGUUAUCUGCGGGGCUCAGCAGCCACCCAGUGUGUGAAUCGUAGAGACUUCUGAAUGGAAGCUACCACUGUGUUGGGGACGAAAGGAAAGGUACUUUUAGGUCCCAGGUUUCCACUCCCCCAGUGGCCUCCAGAUCAAUCUCAGAUGAGAUUGGAAACCUCUACUUAGCAAGCUAUAUUUCCACAGACUGAGCCCAAACAGCAGGAAAGCUCUUUUUUUUCUUUUUGCUCCACUCCUCCUCCUUUUACCCCCCCGUACUGCAGGCUGCUGUGGUAACUGGAGUUUCUAAAUCACAUGGCUGUCCAUUGAAGCUGUCCAGGAGCAAAAAAGAGUUCAUCGCUGAGCAAUCCAGUGUCUAAUGGCAGGGAGCGAGACAGAGAAGAGCAAGCUGAGGAGAGAGGCUGUGUGUAUGUGCGACAAACUAGAUCUAAGGUGCAGAGAAUGCAUGCAUGAAAAUAGAACUGCGGUGCAUAGAAUGCAUGUGUAUAUAACAGGAAUCAUGGAGCACUGUGCCUGCCUACACACUAUGGAGGGGCACAGCAUUGUGUAUAUAUGAACAGAGCUAGAACAGAGGAGCAUGCAAACAGCAUUGUGUUUAUGACUAGAACUGAGGAGUGCACACACACAGUGUUGUAUGGUGUGUAUGUGUGUAAUUGAAAUGUACUAACUUCCAAACUUAAGUAGACCCUAAAAUAAAUAAAAUUCAGUAACAUGCCAGCUGCACAUCAUUAAGAAAGCUCUUGUUUUAUUCAACUAUCUUCCUGUACACAGAGACAGAUGUAAGUUGGCUGCCACCAAUUGAAGGUAGAUUUUUAAGGUAGACUCUGGUUUGAUUUGCAAAAAAGGUCUGCAAACAAUCAAGCACAUUUAAUGUGUGUGUGCAAUUGCUGCAAUUCAGCAUCAUGUGCAACGGGCCUACUAUGCACCCAACUGGCUGCUUAUAUGCUUAAUCGUGUUACAUUCACAGUUGUGAUAAUUGUGCACACAAAAUUAAAUGUGCUUGCAUUUGCUACGUGCACAACUUUGAAAAUCUGCCCAUUAAAUUGCACACCUUAUGCUAUACCAAGCCACACAAAAUACCAACCCUACACAUAUUUCUCCCCUUAAUUAACGAAAUUUAUAAACUAGAAAAUAAGUGUAGAUUACUGUACUAAAAUCCUCUAAAUUCUGACCCAAAACAUGGUGGGGUGACUAACAACUAUAAUUUCAAGUAUCAGAGGGGUAGCCGUGUUAGUCUGUAUCCACAAAAACAACCAGGAGUCCGGUGGCACCUUAAAGGCUAACAGAUUUGAAGAAGUGCAUCUGAAGAAGUGGGUUUUUUAACCCACAAAAGCUUCUGCCCAAAUAAAUCUGUUAGUCUUUAAGGUGCCACCAAACUAUAAUUUCAGAUGAUCGGGAUGCCUUCUAGCUCUCACUGCAUGAUAUCUGGGUUGUGGGGUUCUGGGUUUUCAUUACAACAUGAUAUAGUAUAGAAAAAGACUUCUGAGUGGAAUCAUUACUGGCAUGGAAGCAGAAGCUGACAGAAGAUCAUUUACUAACAUUGAAGAUGAAAGUGGCUCUGAAAUAGAAGAGUUAUAGCAAAAAAAAAAAGUGCCCCAUUCACACGUUUAGUACCUAAGGCUCUUGAACUUUCUGUGACAGCUGAAGAGGGUGGUAUAGUCAGUGGGGCCAUUUAUAUGUUUGAAGUUAAGCGUGGCUUAAGUGCUUUGCUGCAUCAGUGCUCAGCACCUUGCAGUUUACAGACUACUGUUUGCAGCUGAGUCAGCACAGUUUCAAUUUGCACUUUGCUGACAUUUGGAAGUUUUUCUUCAUAAUCAUAAGGGCUAGAUUUUUUUUAUUACGACUUUGAGUCUGUAGAUGCUGAUGAACCACAUCGGAGACGGGAGUGGCCUUCAACUUUGUCCUCUUCUGGAUCUUCAGAUAUAAAAUAUUCUGAUUUUCCUAUGCCACAUCAGGUCCAAAACUUGGGACAUACUGGACUGUACACUGUACUAUAGGCAGAGUGCAUUGUAAUGCCAAUAGUUAGGAUUGCAUUAGCAUUUCCAUUCUAAAGGGUAUUUUCCAAUUGCCUAUAAACUCCACCUACGUUUGCCUUUCAGAGUGAAAUGUUCUACCUUUGUUCUUAGCAAGAGGGCCCUUUUAAAAAAAAUAGUUUGAACAAAAAUAGUUCAGUCAGUUUUCAGUAUGAAAAAAAUACACAUUUGCCAUGAUGAAAAAUGACAUCAGGAAUCAAAAUACUCAAAAACCAGUGGGAGAACACUUUAACCUGUCUGGUCAUUCAGUGACAGACCUGCGGGUGGCUAUAUUACAACAGAAAAACUUCAAAAACAGACUCCAAAGAGAGACUGCAGAGCUAGAAUUGAUAUGCAAACUAGACACAAUCAACUCCGGUUUGAAUAAGGACUGGGAAUGGCUGAGCCAUUACAAACAUUGAAUCUAUCUCCCCUUGUAAGUAUUCUCACACUUCUUAUCAAACUGUCUGUACUUGGCUAGCUUGAUUAUCACUUCAAAAGUUUUUUUUCUCUUAAUUAAUUGGCCUCUCAGAGUUGGUAAGACAACUCCCACCUGUUUAUGCUCUCUGUAUGUGUGUAUAUAUAUCUCCUCAAUAUAUGUUCCAUUCUAUAUGCAUCUGAUGAAGUGGGCUGUAGUCCACGAAUGCUUAUGCUCUAAUAAAUUUGUUAGUCUCUAAGGUG